rnacentral:tRNA from 1 species
UGGGGCGUCGCCAAGUGGCAAGGCACGAGAUUUUGGGUCUCGCAUUCGUAGGUUCGAAUCCUACCGCCCCAG